CACGUAGGCAACCUGCCCAUCAGCCGGGGAUAACUGCGGGAAACCGUGGCUAAUACCGGAUAAUCCUCCCCACCGCGGGGUGGGGAGUUGAAAGACGGUUUCGGCUGUCGCUGAUGGAUGGGCUGCGGCGCAUUAGCUGGUUGGCGGGGUAACGGCCCACCAAGGCAACGAUGCGUAGCCGACCUGAGAGGGUGAUCGGCCACACUGGGACUGAGACACGGCCCAGACUCCUACGGGAGGCAGCAGUAGGGAAUCUUCCGCAAUGGACGCAAGUCUGACGGAGCAACGCCGCGUGAGUGAAGAAGGGUUUCGGCUCGUAAAACUCUGUUGUUAAGGAAGAACGCCAGGUAGAGUAACUGCUACCUGUGUGACGGUACUUAACCAGAAAGCCACGGCUAACUACGUGCCAGCAGCCGCGGUAAUACGUAGGUGGCAAGCGUUAUCCGGAAUUAUUGGGCGUAAAGCGCGCGUAGGCGGUCUUUUAAGUCUGAUGUGAAAGCCCCCGGCUCAACCGGGGAGGGUCAUUGGAAACUGGGAGACUUGAGUGCAGAAGAGGAGAGUGGAAUUCCAUGUGUAGCGGUGAAAUGCGCAGAGAUAUGGAGGAACACCAGUGGCGAAGGCGGCUCUCUGGUCUGUAACUGACGCUGAUGUGCGAAAGCGUGGGGAUCA
rnacentral:rRNA from 1 species